CCUACGGGAGGCUGCAGUGGGGAAUAUUGGACAAUGGGGGAAACCCUGAUCCAGCAAUGCCGCGUGAGUGAUGAAGGCCUUCGGGUUGUAAAGCUCUUUUGUCAGGGAGGCGGUACCUGACGAAUAAGCUCCGGCUAACUUCGUGCCAGCAGCCGCGGUAAUACGAGGGGAGCUAGCGUUGUUCGGAAUUACUGGGCGUAAAGGGCGCGUAGGCGGUACGAUAAGUCAGAUGUGAAAGCCCUGGGCUUAACCUGGGAGGUGCAUUUGAUACUGUCGAACUAGAGAUCGAGAGAGGAAAGUGGAAUUACGAGUGUAGAGGUGAAAUUCGUAGAUAUUCGUAAGAACACCAGUGGCGAAGGCGACUUUCUGGCUCGAAUGACGCUAAGGCGCGAAAGCGUGGGGAGCAAACAGGAUUAGAUACCCUUGUAGUC
rnacentral:rRNA from 1 species